CGCAUAUUGCGCCCUUUGGUAUCCCGAAGGGCAUGCCUGUUCGAGCGUCAUUAUCACCCCUCAAGCUCUGGCUUGGUGUUGGGCCUCCGUUGUAGGUCACCUCUACAACGGGCCUCAAAGAGAGUGACGGCGUCCUGGGAGGGAACCGGUACGAGGAGCUUCUAGUUAAGCAUGUACGCGGGACGACUCUUGGACGUACCGUUUUUCAGUCUUUUUUAAGUGUUGACCUCGGAUCAGGUAGGAAUACCCGCUGAACUUAA
rnacentral:misc_RNA from 1 species